AUUGAACGCUGGCGGCAUGCCUUACACAUGCAAGUCGAACGGUAACAGGUUAAGCUGACGAGUGGCGAACGGGUGAGUAAUGCAUCGGAACGUGCCCGGUCGUGGAGGAUAACACUUCGAAAGAAGUGCUAAUACAGCAUACGAUCUAAGGAUGAAAGCGGGGGACCGUAAGGCCUCGCGCGAUCGGAGCGGCCGAUGUCAGAUUAGGUAGUUGGUGGGGUAAAGGCUCACCAAGCCGACGAUCUGUAGCUGGUCUGAGCGGACGACCAGCCACACUGGGGCUGAGACACGGCCCAGACUCCAACGGGAGACAGCAGUGGGGAAUUUUGGACGAUGGGCGCAGGCCUAAUCCAGCAAUGCCGCGUGCAGGAAGAAGGCCUUCGGGUUGUAAACUGCUUUUGUACGGAGCGAAAAGGCUCUCUCUAAUACAGGGGGCUGAUGACGGUACCGUAAGGAUAAGCACCGGCUAACUACGUGCCAGCCGCCGCGGUAA
rnacentral:rRNA from 1 species